GUCCUACCAACAGAACAAACCCCCGGCCUUAAAUGCCCCAAAGGAUCUUAAAUGGAAAAAAAAAGGAAGCCACCCCCUAACCUGGCCGGAAACGAAUUUCGCAGGGGGGGUGGUUUCCUUUGUUAAAAACUAAAUUACUCUUGGCCACGGAAUUCUUGGCUCUCCCCUCCAUUAAAAACCUUACCAAAUGCGAUACUUGGUGGGAAUUGGAAAAUCCCCUUGACCAUCCAAUUUUUGAACGCAAGUUGCCGCCCAAGCCUUUCGGGCCAAGGGAACUCUGGCUGGGUGGCAUUGUUCGGUUCCCCCUUCAAAUUCCUUUGGGGGGAAAAUGGAAUAGGGGCGGAAAUUGGUCUCCCCUGGGGUCCCGCUCGGGGUUGGCCGAAAAUCCAGUCCUUUGUGAUUGUGCCCCC
rnacentral:rRNA from 1 species